CAAGAGCCCAGCUGCUCGCCAAACCCCGGCCGCCUGCGUGAGUGACUUGGCACAGCCAGAAACACGGUUGAGUCUUUGGGUUUAUCACCGGCGCGCCUUCACCACCUCCUCUCCUGGCCACCUGCUUCCCAUGCACCUGGACCUGGACCAGAGGAGGGCGCGAAUUUCCAAAGCACCGCAGGAGAAACGAGCCUGCUUUCUGAAUCAGAGCGAUUCGGGGUAAAACGACUUGUCAGAGGACCUCUAAACUCCUUGGCAAACGCUGGGCGACUCUAUUGCUAGUAAGUCCACAAAAGCCACGAAUGUGCAAGACGCGAGCUGGACUACUGCAAGUGGACGCCACCGAGGAGGCGUCGCAGCUCCCGCCGCGGAUGUGGUGGACGAUGCCAAGUCAUCUUGUAAAAAAAGGAAGUGAAGAAUGAUUAAGAGGGUCACGCCCUCUGCCCCUCCAACCUCUCUAAUCAGUUUCUUUCAGCUCUGUCUUCUGUAUGUGCACCUGCUCGGGUGGGACCUCAAGGAAAAAUAAUCCUGUGGGUCCACCUAAUCUGGUAAGUGGUAUCUUUGGAAAAUCAAGCUCCAAGUUGAGUGGAGGACAUGGAAACUGACAAUAAUAGUUAAUAACUGUGACUUCCACUUGCAUAUUUAUCUGCAUUGGCUAAUAAAUCACACUGUCUGUCUUGA